CUUUCUGUGAUUUUGCUGCGAUAAAAAAUGAAAUAAGGCACAUGGCCAUGCUUUGCUCUUUACCUGAUCACCUGUUUUACCUUGUGUAUUGCAGGCAGCUGACUGGCAAUCAAGUUUUUCUAAUCCACCAAGGAAGAUCAUAGUACUGAUAUCACGCCUUCUCAGUGAUGCACAUCGGUAUAUUUUGCGAUGCCUGAGCAACCAUGGAACCGUCUCACAUUGUACUGUACUAACAGCUAUUUCAGAGAUUGGACACUCAGCAUAUGUUGAUUCUCCACUCGGGCCAGAUGCGUUUCGGGAAUAUGAAACCUUACUUAUUCAGGACCAUGAUGAGCUUCUUAAGAAGUCUGAGAAUUUAGACAGACAUAAAGAAAGCAUUCAUAAAGAGGCGAGUGAUUUUACCUCUAACGUUGAUAAUUAUUCUAAGUGGGGUUCUGGGGUGCAUUAUGGCUCUAAUUCUGAAUCCAGCCCAACGAAAAGGGAUUUUUUGAUGACGAAAUGGGCCAGGUAGAAGCAAGAGGGAGAAGACUGUUUGUAGUUGUGCGUCACUUUCCGAUGAUUUUCUCUCCUAUUUCCUCAAGGGUUUUUGUUUUGCCCUCUGAAGGCAUAAUUGCUGACUCAAGCCUGUCGAAUCAUCAUGAGGAUUCCCUUGGCUCUGGUUUACCCUCCAUAUCUACUAGUAAACCUUUUGAUAGUGACGAGGUACCACCAGGAGUGACAUUGACUACCCAGUUUCUGUACCAUUUGGCCAAUAAGAUGGACCUAAAGCUUGAUAUAUUUUCACUUGGUGAUACAUCAAAGGUCAUUGGAAAGCUGAUGAUGGAUAUG